AAAAAAAAGGGCAGACCCCUCAACUCCAAAAACCCAGCCGGAGAUUCCACCAACUCUUUCCAUAGCAUUUCUCCAUCUCACCACCUUUCCACUCCAAACCUUCCUUUCAAACUCUCAAAAUCAUGUUGAAACGGUCCUCUCUGCCUUCGCACAUCUGACGGGUCAACCCGGUAGAACACGGGCAGAACGAGUUUACCCAACUCACAAAUCAUCGCUAAUUCCUCGAGACGCCAUCUCGACGAAUCAUAAGUGGGUGAAAUAAUAGCAAUAGCAACACCAGAAUCGUUGAUUGCAUCCAUAAGAUCUGUUCGAUUUUUCCGGUGAGCUUCGAGGUCAUCGAAAGUUGUUGUCCGAGUUUCCGUUUCAGUCGCAAGCAGGGCCGGAUGGAGGGCCUCUUAAUACAAUUUGGCUUUAGGCCACUAAUUUCGUUGAGCCGCCCCUGAUCGCAAGUCGAGGUACUGUCGUUGGCUUCUGGUUUGAGUUCCGUUCGCGGUUCCGCUUCGAGUUCGCCAACUCUGAUUGGUUUCUGGUUGGAAAUCCAUGUACGCUUCUAAAAGCUUCGACGAAAAUCCGAUUAUGCUAUUCUAAGGUUCAAUUAUUCACUCCUCUGUUCAUUUUGUUCCUAUUUAAUUUUAUGUGUUGUUUUGGCAAUAUGGCUCCUUGCUUCGUGAUCAAUCAUUGCUCUUAGUGAUUUUUUUAUAUUUUUUA